GGGGGUGUAGCUCAGUUGGGAGAGCGCCUGCCUUGCAAGCAGGAGGUCAGCGGUUCGAAUCCGCUCACCUCCACCA
rnacentral:tRNA from 1 species